CCUACGGGAGGCAGCAGUGAGGAAUAUUGGUCAAUGGACGAGAGUCUGAACCAGCCAAGUAGCGUGAAGGAUGACUGCCCUAUGGGUUGUAAACUUCUUUUAUAUGGGAAUAAAACGUUCCACGUGUGGGAUUUUGUAUGUACCAUAUGAAUAAGGAUCGGCUAACUCCGUGCCAGCAGCCGCGGUAAUACGGAGGAUCCGAGCGUUAUCCGGAUUUAUUGGGUUUAAAGGGAGCGUAGGUGGAUUGUUAAGUCAGUUGUGAAAGUUUGCGGCUCAACCGUAAAAUUGCAGUUGAAACUGGCAGUCUUGAGUACAGUAGAGGUGGGCGGAAUUCGUGGUGUAGCGGUGAAAUGCUUAGAGAUCACGAAGAACUCCGAUUGCGAAGGCAGUUCACUGGACUGCAACUGACACUGAGGCUCGAAAGUGUGGGUAUCAAACAGGAUUAGAUACCCGAGUAGUC
rnacentral:rRNA from 1 species